GGGGAAUAUUGCGCAAUGGGGGAAACCCUGAUGCAGCAACGCCGCGUGAGGGAAGAAGGUCUUCGGAUUGUAAACCUUUGUCCUUGGUGACGAAACAAAUGACGGUAGCCAAGGAGGAAGCUCCGGCUAACUACGUGCCAGCAGCCGCGGUAAUACGUAGGGAGCAGGCGUUGUCCGGAUUUACUGGGUGUAAAGGGUGCGUAGGCGGCUCUGCAAGUCAGGCGUGAAAACUAUGGGCUUAACCCAUAGACUGCGUUUGAAACUGUGGGGCUUGAGUGAAGUAGAGGUAGGCGGAAUUCCCGGUGUAGCGGUGAAAUGCGUAGAGAUCGGGAGGAACACCAGUGGCGAAGGCGGCCUACUGGGCUUUAACUGACGCUGAAGCACGAAAGCAUGGGGAGCAAAC
rnacentral:rRNA from 1 species